rnacentral:lncRNA from 1 species
UUUUGUCAUUAUCAUUGUUCUAUUUAUUCAUUUAAUAUUUUUGUUCUUAUAAAUAUGUGCUAAACUCGUCCGUGAUUUUUGUGACUUCGUCCCAUUUCAUGGUCCCUUUCCUUCCCAUUCCUUCUUCUGAUUCUUCUUUCCAACUCCCCCUUCCUUCUCUCUCUCUUAACCCCCACAGAUUAAGCAAACAGUUUAUCCCACGAAACCCAUCUACCUCCAGUUCGCUAUUUUGAAGAUUUUUUUUUAAAAUUAAAAAAGAUGGCAGAAGAACAUGGAUUUGAGGCUCCUGAAGGUCACCGCCUAUGCGCCAACAACUGCGGCUUUUUUGGUAGCCCAGCCACCCAGAAUUUCUGUUCCAAGUGCUACCGAGACAUAUCCAUGGAACUGGAACAAGAGAAAUCCGCCAAAUCCGCCGUCGAAAACUCCCUAUUUCCCUCGCUGGCUACGGUGCUAGUUUUGCCGUCUUCUUCGGCGGUCUCCUCGCCAGAAUCUUCUGGCGACGGGGGGUGUCGGCGGUCGUCAGGCCGAACAAGUGUUCCGCCUGCCGGAAGCGGGUCGGAUUGAUGGGAUUCAAUUGUAGGUGCGGAAUUACAUUUUGUGGGACCCACAGGUACCCGGAGGCCGGAGCAGCACGGGUGCGCCUUCGAUUUCAAGGCGGCUGGGAGAGAGUCAAUUGCGAGGGAGAAUUCUUUGGUCAAGGCUGAGAAACUGAGGAAGAUUUGAAAUGAUCUUGACCGUCGGAUUUACGUGAUUUCAAGAUAAAUAUGAGGCAGAAUUGAUAUUUGUAUUUAGUAGUAUUUUUUUUUUACCUCUUUUUUAGUAUUUUUAUUUUGAAUACUCUGUCUGUGUGGUAUUGAUUGUAGAUAUGUUUAAUGGUGAUUUGAAUCUCUUUCCCUGACUCCGUAGUUUCUUCAUUUCCUGCAUUUGUAGUAUUUUGCUAUUUAACGCAAAAAGUCGUUUAUUUCCAAUACCCACAACAUACAUUCUCCUUUUCUGUCCAUAUUUUAAAUUUUGGAUUUAUUAUAUACUACUACCUCUAUUCCUAAUAACAUUAACAACAAUUUUUCUAAUCAACUCUCUAUCCAUAAUUUUGAAAAAUACAUAAACAAAUUAUUAUUUAACAGUUUUCUUAUCCUUAUUUGACUCUCUAUUUUAAUCCCUAUAUAGGAUUUUACUCCACAGUAUGAGAGAGUCAAAAGACCGUUAUCUAUAUAUACAAAAUGAUAUUUCACACCCUCAUUUAAGUGAACAACUCAUCCAUCAUACACAUCUUGACAUUUUUUUACUACUUCAUUUUCAAAUUAUAAACUUAAUAUUGACUUAUAUUUNNNNNNNNNNNNNNNNNNNNNNNNNNNNNNNNNNNNNNNNNNNNNNNNNNNNNNNNNNNNNNNNNNNNNNNNNNNNNNNNNNNNNNNNNNNNNNNNNNNNCAGUCCAGGAAUGAUCAACAGUACCAGCCAUAUAUAUAUAUAUAUGAUAAAGCUCUGAAUUGAACUUAAUUUCUUGUUGAGUACGUUUCAGAAUUAAUUGAUGAAUCGAACGAUUUAAUAUAUAAGGAUCUAGCUAGGACUUAGGAGGGAAUUAAUUAGUUUAAAUAGAGGACGAUUAUGAUUUAUGGGAGGGGAAAUUAAUUUGAUGGUUGGACUAGUGUCUGACGGGAGUUAUCCGGUUGUGGUGGGCUAACUGCAUUGCAUUUGCAUUUUUGCAUGUAAUAAGGGAAGAACAAUUCAACUACAUUACUUAUUGCUUAACAAGUACUAGUAGUAAGGGAAGAAGAAUUCAACUACAUUACUUAUUGCUUCAAGUUCUAGUAUUUACUACUCCACUGCCACUAUAUAUACAUGUGUGUGUGUGUUCCCCCAAUCAUAGUACAUGUGAGUGUGGGUGGGGGGCUACAAUUAUAUAUCAUUUAUAUACAUUUCUGCUAUUAAAAGAGGUGUAGGACGAUAUUAACAUGCUGCUACUAUUGUUAAUUCUUUGGACGAAAAAAGACAAAGAAAAACAGAUAAUCAAUAGACUCACUCACAGAUCAACUAUGAUAUAAUUGUCAAAAAUUAUAUAAUAAUAAUCCGAAUUAAUAAGGAGUUUUAAAAUGAUAUGAUUAACAAGAGUUGAGAUAUAAUUAUGAUAUAAAAAAUUUAUUUGUCAUCCGACCGACAAAGAAAGCAUUAGCUACAAAUAAAGUCGCCCAACUCAAAAAAUAAAAUAGAAAAUAGUGGCAUCUCAUAUUUAUUACUCUACUUAUUAUUCAUGCAGAGAACAAGUCCAAAUAGUUGUCCACAACCCAUAUAUAGGUUCAAAAUAUACGAGUGGUAUUUAAUAAAUGAUGAGUCUGUUGACUUUUACUCAAUCACAAAUCAUGCUUUAAUUAAAUUGGAUUUUACUUGUUCAUUUAUUUAUUUAUUAUUUUGAUAUGAUUUUUGCAACAUUUAUUUCUAAUUAAAAGGUUGAGAAUUGAUAUUUGAAAAUAAAAAUGUUAGUUCCAUUAGAUUUCUCUAGCUCUUGCACGAGUCCUCCACUCGUAUUCAUUUUUCACUUGUGUAAAUAUUAAUUCCCAAGAUGAUAAGAUAUCAACAUCUAAUAUUGUAAAUAAGGACAAUAUUGUAAAUGUUUAGAAUAAUAUGUUUAGUUAGAGUUUUCUAUAUAAAGUGUAUUCAGUCAUCCUUGUUCAGUAACUAAUAAGAAGGAAAAGAAACAAUUAUACCAAACUCUGUUCUCUCUCUAGAAUAUUCAUUUCAUUUUUCAACAUGGUAUCAAAGCCUACAUCAUCACAGAUUUUUGAUUUCUCUUCUCUUCUGAAAAUCAAUAGCUCUUAGCUUCAUAAUCGUUCACCGAUCUGUUCAAAAGCUUCUUUCUCUGAUCUGUUCAACAAUCAAUAGUUUCUUCAUCAUUGUCAGCUUCAGCAGUGAUGAAUACUGAACCAAAUUUCACAGAAAGUGAAUAUCAAAUACUUGUACUGGAUCCAAGUCAUCCAUUCUAUUUGCAUCCAUCAUAUCAUCCAUGUCAAGUUUUAGUCUCUCAAAUCCUAACUGGAGAAAAUUUUAAUCAAUGGCGCAGAGCAAUGUCCUUGUCUCUCUCUGCAAAGAAUAAACUCAGUUUUGUGACUGGAAAGUUCAAUCAACCAGGUGAAACAUCUCCUUAUCUAAUUCAUUGGCAGAGAUGUAAUGAUAUGGUGAUCUCGUGGCUGCUUAAUACAAUUUCUCCAGAAAUCAGUUCAAGUAUUAUUUACAUACCUCUUGCUACUGAUAUUUGGAAUGAUUUAAACAUUAGAUUCACACAAAGCAAUGGUCCUCGCUUAUAUGAGAUCAAGAAGGAUUUGACUUCCUUAACACAGAAUUCAAUGCUUGUGUCUACCUAUUUUACAAAAUUCAAAACUCUUUGGGAUGAAUUAGUUAACCUAACUCAUGUUCCUAAAUGCACUUGUAAGUGUACCUGUGGUGUUUUGAAGUUGCAAGAAGUUUGUGAUGAAAACAUGAAGGUUACUUCAUUUCUAAUGGGACUAAAUGAGAUGUUUACAAACAUAAGAGGUCAGCUACUUAUGAUGAAUCCUCUUCCAAAUCUGAAUCAAGCUUUGGCUCUUAUUCAACAAAAGGAAAAACAAAGAAAUUACACUAGUCAACAACUGACUGUGAUUCCUGAGUCUACAGCUCUUCUCAGCAAGUUUAAUGACAACAAUCAGUCUAUUUCACGAUUUUCAAAAAGUACAUUUGGUAACAAGAAAGUGGAUCCUAAAUCAUUCAAGAGAGGAAAUCUGGAAUUCACCUAUUGUCAUGGAACCAAUCAUACUAGGGAUAGAUGUUAUUUCUUGAAUGGUUUUCCUCCUAAAUUCAAGGGCUCAUCUAACAAAGAAAACAUAGUUGCUGCUCAUGUUACUGCUUCUCCAUCACUCAAUACUUAUACACCUGUUUCAAUUGUUUCAACUGCUCCUUCUCAGUUACUUGGUUCUAUUGCCUCUCUCAACACAACUGCCACUUUUACACCUGCACAAUAUCAAGAAUUGAUGACUCUGAUCAAUCAAAAUCACUUACACUCUACUACUGAUAUUCAUUUAGCAGGUACAAACACUAUGUGUCUAUCUAGUUUUUCUGUUUCAAAUGACUGGAUAAUAGACUCUGGUGCAACUGAUCAUAUUACUACCUCAUUUGUUUUGCUUCUUAAUCCUAUCCUCAUAAAUUCUAUCAUUUAUCUUCCUAAUGGUAAAUCCUCUCCUAUUACUCACAAAGGUACUGUUCAACACACUGAUGACAUUAUUUUACAUGAUGUCCUUUGUGUUCCAGAGUUUAAAUUCAAUCUUAUAUCAGUGAGUAAACUCAGUCAAGACAUUAAUUGUUGUGUCACUUUUCUUCCUAAUAUUUGUCUAUUUCAGGACCUUGUAAUGAAGAAGGUGAAAGGGAUUGGUAGAUUAAAGGACAAUCUAUACAAGCUUGUUACUCCUACUGUUUCUCUAAUCAUGUUAUUUGUUCUACUCAGUCUUCUUCAAUACUACAACUGUGGCAUGAUAGGCUUGGUCACUCACAUGUUCAUGUCAUCAAAACUAUACCUGAUCUUAUACCAUCCAGUUGUACUUCUUUCUUUUAUUGUGAUGUAUGUCCUCUAGCUAAGCAAAUGAGAAAUGUAUUUCCUGUCAUCAGUUCCACUACUGCCUCCAAACCAUUUGAAUUAUUGCAUUGUGACCUCUGGGGUCCUUAUAGACAUAAGACAUAUCACAAUUGUACUUCUUUUCUGACAAUUGUUGAUGAUAAAACAAAAUGCACGUGGAUAAAAAUCAUAUGUUUUCUAAAGAAAAGAAAAAUAAAAAGACUGAUCCAGAGUCCAGCCUGGCCCGCCAUUUGAUACUUACGGAGUAUUUCUUUUGUCAUUAUCAUUGUUCUAUUUAUUCAUUUAAUAUUUUUGUUCUUAUAAAUAUGUGCUAAACUCGUCCGUGAUUUUUGUGACUUCGUCCCAUUUCAUGGUCCCUUUCCUUCCCAUUCCUUCUUCUGAUUCUUCUUUCCAACUCCCCCUUCCUUCUCUCUCUCUUAACCCCCACAGAUUAAGCAAACAGUUUAUCCCACGAAACCCAUCUACCUCCAGUUCGCUAUUUUGAAGAUUUUUUUUUAAAAUUAAAAAAGAUGGCAGAAGAACAUGGAUUUGAGGCUCCUGAAGGUCACCGCCUAUGCGCCAACAACUGCGGCUUUUUUGGUAGCCCAGCCACCCAGAAUUUCUGUUCCAAGUGCUACCNNNNNNNNNNNNNNNNNNNNNNNNNNNNNNNNNNNNNNNNNNNNNNNNNNNNNNNNNNNNNNNNNNNNNNNNNNNNNNNNNNNNNNNNNNNNNNNNNNNNAUUUCGACAAAUCUCUUCAUUGAAUAAGUUCAACACAUGACCUUAAUAUAGGUUUUAUAUUUCCUACUACAAUCAUUUCUUCAACAAAUUCUAGGUUUUAUUUCAUAACUUUCACUUUAACUCAAUUAUAUUCUGAGUAUUAUAUAUUCUUUAAUCCAUUUAUUUCCUUUUCUAAAGAUUGUUAUCAUAAACACUCGGGAUAUUAUAUUCACCCAUUCUUCUAAGAAUUCGUCUUCGAAAUUUUUAUUUAUUAAUCUUUAUUCAUUCAUUCUAUCAACAAAGAUUUUACGUUAAUACUUUAUUCACUCAUUGGGUUUUAUAACCACUUCUUUCCACAAAGGUCUUUCUUCAAUUAUUAAACUUUUCUAUUAAGAGAUUUAUAUUAUUCUUUGAUAACUCAUCUCCUUCUCAUUUCAAAAUUUCUUUUCUCACCUAUUCCAUAUAUUCAUCAUUCAGUGUCGCAUUCUACGACUUACUUCUUUCUAAGGAAUAUCAUCCUUACCACAUUCACCUUUUUAGAAUUGCAAGAAUCUUUCACAAUUGCUCAAUAAUUGGGAAGAAGUAUGAAUAACUCAGGAAUUUUAAAAGAUUCCAAAUCAUGUUGAGGGGUCACAAGACCGUGAACUCUAUUCUCGGUUUACUAGUGCUUCAACUCAAUCCUUCACACUGCAAACNNNNNNNNNNNNNNNNNNNNNNNNNNNNNNNNNNNNNNNNNNNNNNNNNNNNNNNNNNNNNNNNNNNNNNNNNNNNNNNNNNNNNNNNNNNNNNNNNNNNAUUUUUUUUUUACCUCUUUUUUAGUAUUUUUAUUUUGAAUACUCUGUCUGUGUGGUAUUGAUUGUAGAUAUGUUUAAUGGUGAUUUGAAUCUCUUUCCCUGACUCCGUAGUUUCUUCAUUUCCUGCAUUUGUAGUAUUUUGCUAUUUAACGCAAAAAGUCGUUUAUUUCCAAUACCCACAACAUACAUUCUCCUUUUCUGUCCAUAUUUUAAAUUUUGGAUUUAUUAUAUACUACUACCUCUAUUCCUAAUAAC